UACGAGGCGGCUGACAGGAUAGGACCGGAUAGGACACGCCACGCUCCGCCACGCCUCCAGCCCAGCGACAUCAGCUGACGCGCACGCCACACGCCACGCCGCGCCCCACGCCGAUCUCAAACACUCCGACGCCGUCCGUCGCGCCGCACCCAGGUCAUUGCGUCUAGUGAACUGGUGGAUCGCUUACGAUGGCAAACAAACAGGAGGAUCCCGCUGUUACGAAUUUCCGAGAGUACCUCCGAAUCCCUUCGGUCCAUCCCGAUGUGGAUUAUGAUGCAUGUGUCAGUUUUCUGAAGAAGCAAUCAGAGAGUCUUGGUUUAUCCUACAAAAUAUAUUAUGCUGUGCCGAAGAAGCCAAUAUUUGUUAUGACAUGGGAAGGAAAAGAACCAAAACUACCCACCAUUCUCCUUAAUUCUCACAUGGAUGUUGUGCCGGUAUUUCCAGAGAAGUGGAUACACCCACCAUUUGCUGCAGAGAAGGAUGAAAAUGGAAAUAUAUAUGCUCGGGGUGCUCAAGACAUGAAAUGUGUUGGUAUUCAAUAUCUCGAGGCAAUUCGAAGGCUUAAAAAGAACGGCAUCCAGUUGCUACGCACUGUGCAUUUGUCAUUUAAUCCUGACGAAGAGAUUGGUGGAAGAGAUGGCUUGGCAAAGUUUGUCCACAUGCAAGAAUUCCGUGACCUUAAUGUUGGCUUUGCUCUUGAUGAAGGCAUGGCAAGUACAGGAGAUCAUUUUAUUCUCUUCCCUGGCGAAAGGUCUAUAUGGCAAAUCCAUGUGCACUGUCCAGGCCAACCUGGUCAUGGAUCACUUUUGCCAUCCAAUACUGCCGGGGAGAAACUCAGGGUAGUCAUUGAUAAAUUUAUGGAUUUCCGUCAGAGAGAGAAGAGCCGCCUUGAAAGCAACUCAAAUCUUAAAAUAGGGGAUGUAACUACCAUUAAUCUCACAGUGGUGAAGGGUGGGGUGCAGACUAAUGUAAUUCCCGCAGAGAUGGUAGCAUGUUUUGAUGUAAGAUUGGCUUGUGAUGUGGAUCAUGACAAGUUUGAGAACAUGAUAAAAAGCUGGUGUGCUGAAGCUGGUUCUGACGUAAGGAUUGAAUUUGAGCAGAAGAAUCCUAAAAUUGAAGUGACUAAGACUGAUGACUCCAGCCCUUGGUGGGUGGCCUUCAAGCGUGAAUGUGAUGCUAUUGCAAUAGAGUUGAAGAUAAACAUAUUUCCAGGAGGUACGGAUAGCAGUUUCUUACGUGAGGAGCUUGAAAAUUAUCCAAGUAACAUGCCCUGGUGCCACCGAUUCACGUUACGUGAGACAGGGGCCUCAAACUGUCAAAGGAGAUCUUUCCUGGUGGCACAGAUGGAAGAUAUAUUCGAUAUGUGGGCAUACCAGCUUUUGGAUUUUCCCCCAUGAAUAACACACCUGUUCUCCUGCAUGAUAAUGAUGAAUUUCUGAAUGAAUCCAUCUUUCUGCGAGGGAUUGAGAUUUACUGCAAGCUGAUUCCAGGAGUUGCUAAUGUUGCAGCUUGAGGGUAAUGAAUUUGGAACAAGAAAAGUCAAUUUUGCUGAAAACAAAGUUUUGAAAGUAACUGAAACUGAUCCACAUUUACUGUAUCAGCCAGGCAAAUCUGGAUAAGUAAGUAUUAAUUGUUAACGAAAAAUGAGAUAUGGUGCCAUCUUUAUUUUGAGUCAUUUUGUGGGCUGCAAGGAAUACUUUUCAAUCAUCAUAGACCAGAUUUUUCCUCCCUCUGCAUACUCCUUGUAAACCUGCGUGAACAUCGCUAAACAUGUGUUUUUACUGAGCGAGUAGUGUGGUCAUGGUGCCAAAUGUUAUCCCGCUUUGAAGUCACAUAGUAGUACCCAGUGUUCUUAUUAUGGAAUGGUUUUAAUCUUAUCUUGUAAGAUGUGUUAUUGCAAGUGAUAGUCAUUAUCAAAGAGAUAUUUUAAUGCAUGUAAAAUAUAUUUUAUCAUUGUUAAAAACCUUUCCUUUAAACUGGAAUUCCUCUAUUGUGGUGUUAUUUUGUAAUACAAGUUGACAUUUAAAAUUCUAUUUUAAUCCUA